rnacentral:rRNA from 1 species
GACAGAGGGUGCAAACGUUGCUCGGAACCACUGGGCGUAAAGGGCGUGUAGGCGGGAAGGAAAGUCAGAUGUGAAAUCCCUGGGCUCAACCCAGGAACUGCAUUUGAAACUCCCUUUCUUGAGUGUCGGAGAGGAAAGUGGAAUUCCUGGUGUAGAGGUGAAAUUCGUAGAUAUCAGGAGGAACACCGGUGGCGAAGGCGGCUACCUGGACCGGUUCUGACGCUGAUGCGCGAAAGCGUGGGGAGCAAACAGG